rnacentral:tRNA from 1 species
GGGUCCGUAGCUUAAUUGGGAAAGCGUCUACCUUGCAAGUAGGAAGAUAUCGGUUCAACUCCGAUCGGAAUCCACCA